UGAAGUACAAAAUACACAGCACAAUGCCACAGUCCUUAUAAUGUACAUAGCAGCUGUCAUACUAACCUUGAGAGUAACUAAUUAAACAAACAUGAGUAAACAUUGGAUUAUCUUUUCAAUAAAUAAUGUCUUUAUUAGAGUGGCUAGAUACUAUCUAUCUAUAAUCUAUGUCUAAAGUCUAAACUCUAUUAUAGCACAAAAUAUAACCAUAUAUAAGAGAAAUUAUUUAUUUAUUUAUAUAUAUAGAUACUAAACAUCAUAUCAUUUCUUAAAUAUUGUUAUGUUUAAAAUAGGAGUGAGUAAACAUGAGUAAAAUGAAUUAAUCUAAAGAAUUAAACAGUGUCGGUUAUGGAAACCCAUUUUCUCUGUGUUUCUUUCCUGCGUCUCCAAGGGACCACUUGCUUGAAGCUACCAUAAAUGCUUGCCUGCAAAUAUCAAAAUUAUUAUUACAUCAUAUAAGAUUUAAUCCAUUUCAACCUAACUAGUUAAAUCAGUCAUAUUCUUGUCCAAUUUUUUUGGUAGAAUAUCAUAUUCUUGAGUAUAGGCAUAAUGAUAAGAAAAUGAUAUUUCAUCACUAAAUGGUGUUGUAAGGUACUAGUAUAUGCAAAUAUUUUAUAUGUGGUAUCUACUUUAAAUAUUUCAGUAAAUAUUACAAUCUUAGGUUAGUUUUUCUUCUUGCCAGAACUUGAAUCCUGAACCUCCAAUUUUUUAAUCCUUAGUUUAAUUAGUUUAAUCAGUUGAGUUACUCUUCCUAUCCAAAAAAUC
rnacentral:lncRNA from 1 species